UGCAGUCGAGCGGAACGAGUUAACUGAACCUUCGGGGAACGUUAACGGCGUCGAGCGGCGGACGGGUGAGUAAUGCCUGGGAAAUUGCCCUGAUGUGGGGGAUAACCAUUGGAAACGAUGGCUAAUACCGCAUAAUAGCUUCGGCUCAAAGAGGGGGACCUUCGGGCCUCUCGCGUCAGGAUAUGCCCAGGUGGGAUUAGCUAGUUGGUGAGGUAAUGGCUCACCAAGGCGACGAUCCCUAGCUGGUCUGAGAGGAUGAUCAGCCACACUGGAACUGAGACACGGUCCAGACUCCUACGGGAGGCAGCAGUGGGGAAUAUUGCACAAUGGGCGCAAGCCUGAUGCAGCCAUGCCGCGUGUGUGAAGAAGGCCUUCGGGUUGUAAAGCACUUUCAGCAGUGAGGAAGGUGGUGUCGUUAAUAGCGGCAUUAUUUGACGUUAGCUGCAGAAGAAGCACCGGCUAACUCCGUGCCAGCAGCCGCGGUAAUACGGAGGGUGCGAGCGUUAAUCGGAAUUACUGGGCGUAAAGCGCAUGCAGGUGGUUAGUUAAGUCAGAUGUGAAAGCCCGGGGCUCAACCUCGGAACUGCAUUUGAAACUGGCUGACUAGAGUACUGUAGAGGGGGGUAGAAUUUCAGGUGUAGCGGUGAAAUGCGUAGAGAUCUGAAGGAAUACCGGUGGCGAA
rnacentral:rRNA from 1 species